AUGUCCCAGCCGCACAGGCGCAGCACCGGGAACGGCGGGGCGGUCUCAGGCGCGGGCGGGGGAGGGGACUACAUCAAGUCAUGGAUCAUGUGCGGCAACCUGCAGCGCAGCUUCGGCUCCCUCGUCCGCGAGCCCUGCGGCCUCAACCCGGACCCCUACUACCUCAAGGGGGGCAAAAUGCUCAGGCCAGAGAAAUGGAACGCGUGUUUCGACACCGACGGAAAGGUCAUCGGCUUCCGUAAGGCCCUCAAGUUCAUUGUCUUAGGGGGCAUGGAUCCCUCUAUUCGAGCAGAAGUUUGGGAGUUUCUUCUUGGGUGCUAUGCCUUAAGUAGCACAACAGAGUAUAGGAGGAAACUAAGAGCCGCUCGAAGGGAGAGAUAUCAAUGUUUAGUUAGGCAAUGCAAGAGUAUGCACCCAAGCAUUGGUACAGGUGAGCUUGCGUAUGCUGUUGGCUCAAAGCUGAUGGAUGUCAGGACUAUGCCAAAAGAAAAUGACAGUAGAGAAGAAGUCAGCACAAGUCAACGAGACUCAGAAAAUGCACCUGGCAGUACAGUAGAAAACUCCAACUUAAAUUAUGACUCUGGUGGAGCACCACAGUCACAAAGCUGUAGCAAAUCAGCUGAAGUAGCUGGUUUCAACACACAUAAUGAUAGCCCUGUAUAUAAUUCAUCCAAAUUUAUGGUGUCCUCCACAGUGGUGAAUAGUUGCUUGUCAGAUUCUGGGGAUUACAAUGACAUGGGUGAACCAAGAUAUGACAGUGAGACAUUCAUGGAGUAUCCCUCCCUGCCUGGUACAAACUUGUUCGCAAAUGAUGGUGGGGAUGUCAAUGGGGUUGACGAAAGUCUUUGUAGUUUCUCAGUUCCUGAAGAUAGGUUAAGACAACGUGACGAAUGCAUGCACAGCUUCCAAAUCAAUAAUAACAUAGAUCUCAUUAUGGAGUCCAAUUCCAGUGAUCUGUUUCAGGCUAGCAACAGCGACUCAGCCAUCUUUCACUCUGAUGCGUUCAAACAGGAUAGAUGGUUAGAUGACAUUGGCUACAACAGGGAAAUAGUAGAUUCUUUGAAGAUAUCUGAUGCGCCAGAAGCAGAUUUUGUUGACGGAACCAAAUCCGACAGUCCAGUCGCAAACAAAGACAGAGUCGCCGAGUGGCUAUGGACACUGCAUAGAAUUGUGGUCGAUGUUGUCAGAACAGAUAGCCAUCUUGAUUUCUAUGGAGAAUCAAGAAAUAUGGCGAGAAUGUCAGAUAUACUUGCAGUUUAUGCAUGGGUUGAUCCUUCCACUGGAUACUGUCAAGGUAUGAGCGAUCUGCUUUCCCCUUUUGUUGUUCUAUACGAGGAUGAUGCAGAUGCCUUUUGGUGUUUUGAGAUGUUACUGAGAAGGAUGCGUGAAAAUUUCCAGCUCGAGGGACCGACAGGAGUUAUGAAGCAGUUGGAAGCAUUGUGGAAGAUCAUGGAAUUGACCGAUACGGAAUUAUUUGAGCAUUUAUCAGCAAUUGGUGCGGAAAGCCUCCAUUUUGCUUUCCGGAUGCUGCUAGUGCUUUUUCGUCGAGAGCUAUCUUUUGAGGAGUCGCUGAGCAUGUGGGAGAUGAUGUGGGCUGCUGAUUUUGACGAAGAUGCAAUUAGGAAUUUGGAAGCAAACUGCCUAGAACCAUUGCUACUGGAUGUGAAGAAUGAUUUUUCAUGUGAGGUCAAAGAAGAGUCCCGGGUGAACAAGUACACGAGAAGAAAAUCCAAAAGUAGGAGAUCCCAUCGUAGAAAUGGUGAAAUCCGCGUGUCUUGCAACCCUGGAGUGAAAUCUAGUACAAGAAAUCCCCUGUGUGGCUUGUCAGGUGCCACUAUCUGGGCAAGGCAUCAACAUAUGCCUCAUUUGAGUACAAAUGUCUUGACAAAGAAUGGAGACGACGAACUGCCUAUAUUCUGUGUAGCAGCAAUCUUGAUAAUCAAUCGACACAAGAUUAUUAGAGAUACUCACUCAAUAGAUGAUGCUAUCAAGAUGUUCAACGACAAUAUACUGAAAAUCAAUGUAAAGAGAUGCGUGCGCCUGGCUGUCAGGCUGAGGAAGAAGUACCAGUACAAGUUACUAAAAGGAGGUUCAGAGUGA
rnacentral:rRNA from 1 species